UAGCUUGCUUGUUUGCGAAGAAUUUGUUUUUCCCCCCUUUUUCUUAUUCUUUUUCUUUUUCUUUUUCUUUUUCUUCUUUUGUGAGA
rnacentral:ribozyme from 1 species